UACGGAGGAUCCAAGCGUUGUCCGGAUUUACUGGGUUUAAAGGGUGCGUAGGUGGACUUUUAAGUCAGCGGUGAAAGCCUGUAGCUUAACUACAGAAUUGCCAUUGAAACUGAAAGUCUUGAGUACAGUUGAGGUGAGCGGAAUGUAUCAUUGUAAGCGGUGAAAUGCUUAGAUAUGAUACAGAACACCGAUUGCGAAAGGCA
rnacentral:rRNA from 1 species